GACGACUCUUGCAUACUAUAAGCACAGCGCUCUGUUUAAAGGUGCCUAUCUAAAUAAACACAACACAACUCUAUUGUGGUUGCUUGUUCGGUAAUUCAGUAGGUUUAGUUUGACUUUUAGUUUGACUUGUCCCCAUGAUAAGGCUUCGUUCGAGACUGUGCAUUUAAACUUCUGUAAAUGCAUAUAAUUUAGCCCAGUUCAGAUGCGUUCACAUGGACACUUUGUGUAAGAAGAUGGAAAAAGUGAUGUCGGUGAGCCCUAGGGGCUGGUACAGGGCCUCAUUAAGUCGUUCUGUGCUCAUGUGUGGGUGGCUGUGUUGUCAGGAAUUAAUGUAUGUUGCUGGCUAUGGUUUUGUAAGAGAUAGGUAGUAACCUCUUGGGUUUUUAAGCCUUUUAGGUUGAAGGAACAGUUUAAAAAAAAAAUGAUCUUCCUCAGUAUUUAUGUCUGGUUUUCUAUUACAAAUAUAUAAACAUUCUUAAAUCAAGAGAUGCAAAAUGUCAAAAGAUAUUAAAUCUUGUUUUCUGAAAAAUUGAUCAAAAUGAGAUGUUGUGCUUAAAACAAGAACAGUUAUCUACCAGUGGGGUCAGAAAAAAUAAUCUUACUUCAAGGGGAAACCAAAAUAGUGUUUCUUACCCCGUUGGCAGAUAUUUUUUCUUGUUUUAAGCAUAAACUCUAUGGAAGCUUGUUUCCGCUACUGAAUAAAAAAUAAAAAAGUUAAUUGCAAUUCUGACUUUUUUGUCUCAGAAUUGCAUUAUAUAAAGUCGCAAUUGUCUGUUACAAAGUCAGAAUUGUGAGAUAUAAACUCACAAUUCUGACUUUUUUCCUCACAAUCUCACAAUUUUGACUUUAUAACUCCAAUUGCGAGAAAAAAAGUCAGAAUUGUGAGAUAAAAAGUAGCAAAUUACCUUUUUUUUUUUUUUUUUUUUUUAAUUUUUAUUCUGUGACGGAAACACACUUCCAUAAACUCACUUAAUUUUUAUGCAUUUUUCAUAAAAGAAGACUUAAAAUCUUAAGUCAUUUUUCUUUUUUUCUUUUCUAAAUGGAAAACAAAAACAAAAUUACUAAGAAAGAAAAUAAUUUCGUUAUCCAUUUCUCAUGAGUCAGCCAGUGGGUUUGGUAAAUUUCAUUUCAACCUUUUUAAAAGUUCACAAUGAUGUCAUGAUAUCAGAGAGUUUCACUUUUGUAAAAGACGAUUGCAUCACCAAGUCACACCUGUAUUUUGUGUAUUGGCCUAAUUCCUUAUAAGGUUACAUUUCAGAAGACACAUUUCCAAGAGCUGUCAAUGGUACAAUGGUGUUAUGAUGUACACCCAGUGAAUAACAGCCAUACCGUAGGUGCCCUUAUCGUGAAAACUCACCUUGCGUUUUAUAGUAAUACACAACCAACCCCUGGUCGUUUCCCUCCGGACAGCACAUCUGAAAUCUUUAUUAGCAGUAUGUAUGGGUCUUUAUGUUUCUCCAAUGUGUCCCUGAGGCCCUCCGGAACAGGAAACCAGGAGAGCAGGAGUGACUCCCUCAUCUGUCAGCUCUCACGUUACUCAAACUGAUUGCUGCAUUAAUGAAGCGUGACCUUGACUUCUAAAGACGACUGCAGGAAAAACAGCAAAAACCUGGAAUCUUCAUCGCCCCCAUGCCAGGAUGCUGGACGUUAACCAUUUCAACACGAACCUGGGGUUUGCAGAUAAACGAAAGCAAACUCUCUCCAGUAUUCUGACAUGUUCUGACACAUUGAGCUGUGGUGCUCAUGUGGAAGACAUGGGUUUGAAUCUGGAAUAAAGGAGGCUGACUUGUGUCGGGACAUUCCUGAUCAGACCGCAGGGGAUUUUAUAGUCUUCCUCUCUAUGACUCUGUCUGAUGUGGAGACACCGUCAACCAACAGGCAUUUCCAUCCUGCAAGUCGUCUAAGAGAGACAGACAAAAGAAGAGAUGAGGAAACGUGGGAGGUUGAACUUUGAUCCUGUAUUUAAGGGAAUGUGCAAAGUGAGAUUACAUCAACAGGUGCAGGUCCUUAACCUGGUAACCUCAUGAAUGAUGAUUCACCCCUUUCCCUCAUAAUCGGCACACCCUUUCCCUGUGGAAGUCCAUGACAAUAUGCCAGCAUGUCACACAUGUGGUUUUGUAAAGAGAGCUCUUCUCCACCGUAUUUAAUCAACAGGUGUGAAAUUCUUCAUUAUGUAUGGAGAUGGUUUGAUUUGGUGCUGUGUGUAUUUAUUGUGUUGUAUAAGUGUUUCAUUGGAGAAAUAAAGUCAACGAUAAGAGGAUAGAGCUAUGAAAUGAACAUGGAUAACAUCUCAGAUCGCUUCAUGAGAAAUGUUUGUGUAAAAAUUGUGAUCUCUGACUUUGAUUUGAUUCUUUGAUUCUCUGACUCUAGAGGAGACACUUGAGAUUGGUCUUUUUCUUAGAAGAAAAAUGUGAGAAAUCUGCUCUCCAUUUCAGUCAAGAAGAUUUUAAAGAGAUCUAAUUUGUGAUUUUUCUUUAAUACGGGAUAUUGAAUCAGAUUCAGAUAUCUGGAAUAGAGUACAAACAGAAGCUUCUAGCUUCAAACCACAUUUUAAAGUCAGCAUGACAUCAAAUUCGACUCUUUACUUUCUUAACACAUGCUUCUAGUCUUUUUGUGAGUUUUUUUCAUUGCAUGUAAUUCCAAAGAAAACAACUACUGUAAUCUUUUAUCAGAAUGUAAUCAUUUUCUCUGCUACUCCAAUUCCAAUUCCUGGCAUAUUUAAAAAAAAAAAAAAAAAAAAAAAAAAAAAAACACAUUGAAUAUCUUGUUUCUCUUGGAAAUCUUUUGAAUUUUGAGAGCAAUUAUGAGAUUUUUUUUAUUAUAAGAGAUUUUUGUCUUUAAGCUUAAAGGGUUAGUUCACCCAAAAAUGAAAAUUCUGUCAUUAAUUACUCACCCUCGUGUCGUUCCACACCCGUAAGACCUUCAUUCA